rnacentral:rRNA from 1 species
UACGGAGGGGGCAAGCGUUAUUCGGAAUCAUUGGGCGUAAAGAGUUCGUAGGCGGGGCGUUAUGUCUGGCGUGAAAUUUUUCGGCUCAACCGGAAAAAGCCGUCGGAAACUGGCGCCCUCGAGUCGGGUAGAGGCUAGCGGAAUUCCAGGUGUAGCGGUGGAAUGCGUAGAUAUCUGGAAGAACAUCUGUGGCGAAGGCGGCUAGCUGGGCCCGCACUGACGCUGAGGAACGAAAGCCAGGGGAGCAAACGGG